GUGGGGAAUCUUGCGCAAUGGGCGAAAGCCUGACGCAGCCAUGCCGCGUGAAUGAUGAAGGUCUUAGGAUUGUAAAAUUCUUUCACCGGGGAAGAUAAUGACGGUACCCGGAGAAGAAGCCCCGGCUAACUUCGUGCCAGCAGCCGCGGUAAUACGAAGGGGGCUAGCGUUGCUCGGAAUUACUGGGCGUACAGGGCGCGUAGGCGGACAUUUAAGUCAGAGGUGAAAGCCCAGGGCUCAACCUUGGAAUUGCCUUUGAUACUGGCUGUCUUGAGUUUGGGAGAGGUGAGUGGAACUCCGAGUGUAGAGGUGAAAUUCGUAGAUAGUCGUAAGAACACCAGUGGCGAAGGCGACUCACUGGCCCAAUACUGACGCUGAGGCGCGAAAGCGUGGGGAGCAAACAGGAUUAGAAACCCCUGUAGUCC
rnacentral:rRNA from 1 species